UAAGCACUAGUUCCUGUACAAUCACUGAAGUUAAGCAACAUUGAGCCAGAUCAGUAAUUAGAUAAGUGACCACUUGGGAAUACCAGGUGUUAU